rnacentral:rRNA from 1 species
CGAACGCUGGCGGCGUGCUUAACACAUGCAAGUCGAACGAAGAGCGAUGGAAGCUUGCUUCUAUCAAUCUUAGUGGCGAACGGGUGAGUAACGCGUAAUCAACCUGCCCUUCAGAGGGGGACAACAGUUGGAAACGACUGCUAAUACCGCAUACGAUCUAACCUCGGCAUCGAGGAUAGAUGAAAGGUGGCCUCUACAUGUAAGCUAUCACUGAAGGAGGGGAUUGCGUCUGAUUAGCUAGUUGGAGGGGUAACGGCCCACCAAGGCGAUGAUCAGUAGCCGGUCUGAGAGGAUGAACGGCCACAUUGGGACUGAGACACGGCCCAGACUCCUACGGGAGGCAGCAGUGGGGAAUCUUCCGCAAUGGACGAAAGUCUGACGGAGCAACGCCGCGUGAGUGAUGACGGCCUUCGGGUUGUAAAGCUCUGUUAAUCGGGACGAAAGGCCUUCUUGCGAAUAGUUAGAAGGAUUGACGGUACCGGAAUAGAAAGCCACGGCUAACUACGUG